rnacentral:rRNA from 1 species
AACAAACGCUGGCGGCGUGCCUAAUACAUGCAAGUCGAACGGGGAAAGCUUUCGGGUGAGUACUAGUGGCGCACGGGUGAGGAGCGCGUGGAUAAUCUGCCUUAGAGUGGGGGAUAACUAGUCGAAAGAUUAGCUAAUACCGCAUAAGACCACGAGAGCUGCGGCUUUUGAGGUCAAAGGUUUUUCGCUCUAAGAUGAGUCCGCGUAAGAUUAGCUAGUUGGUGAGGUAACGGCUCACCAAGGCGACGAUCUUUAACUGGUCUGAGAGGAUGAUCAGUCACACUAGAACAGAGACACGGUCGAGAAUCCUACGGAAGGCAGCAGUAGGGAAUAUUGCACAAAGGAGGAAGCUCUGAUGCAGCGACGCCGCGUGAAAGAUGAAGGCGUUCGGGUCGUAAAGCUCUGUCGCAGGGGAAUAACACAAUGAAGGUACCCUGUAAGAAAGGAUCGGCUAACUUCGUA